UACUAACAGCAGAGGAGACGACAACACGUGACAAUAGGUACUAACAGCAGAGGAGACGACAACACGUGACAACAUGUACUAACAGCAGAGGGAGACAACGUGACGUGACAACAUGUAGUAACAGCAGAGGGAGACAACAUGACCUGACAACAUGUAGUAACAGCAGAGGGAGACAACAUGAUGUGACAACAUUUAAUAGUAGAGGAGACAACAACACGUGACAACAUGUAGUAACAGCAGAGGAGACAACAACACGUGACAACAUGUAGUAACAGCAGAGGAGACAACAACACGUGACAACAUGUAGUAACAGCAGAGGAGACAAAAACACGUGACAACAUGUUGUAACAGCAGAAGAGAAAACACGUGACAACAUGUAGUAACAGCAGAGGAGACAACAUGACGUGACAACAAGUAGUAACAGCAGAAGAGAAAACACGUGACAACAUGUAGUAACAGCAGAGGAGACAACAUGACAUGACAACAGGUAGUAACAGCAGAGGAAUCAACAACAAGUGACAGCAUGUAGUACCAGCAGAGGAGACAACAACACUUGACCACAUGUAGUAACAGCAGAGGAGACCACAUGACAUGACAACAUGUAGUAACAGCCGAGGAGACAACAACAUGUGACAACAUGUAGGGUUCUGUGGAGGUUUGCUGCUGCUGUUUCCUGACUAAUUGUUUUGCAGUUCAUUGAGAGUUCGGUGGGCGGAGACUGGAUGGACUCACCUGUGCAUUGUCUGCUCUGAUUAGUCCUGAGAGUAUUUCAGUUGCCUUCUGAAAUCCAUCCGACGCUGGAUUAUUCAGUUGCCCAUGGCUGGACCGUCCUGAUCCCCCUGGUGACUCCACGAAAUCUGCAAAAGACAUAUUGGAAAUUACCUGUGUUUGAUUCCCAACAAAGAACCUCUACAAACCUCCUCGUCCUGGUCAGCCUCCUCGCCUGGAUCCUCAAGAAACUUGAACCCAUUCACUGUACAAUAAACUCACUUACCUUUUA